rnacentral:lncRNA from 1 species
CCUGAGUGAACAACAACUGAGGUGGAUCUCUGGCCUCCAAACAUAGAUGCACACACAUACAUGGAUAUGAGUACAUGAGUACACAUAUAUACAUGAGACAAACAUGACAAGGGAAGGGCUUUUUGCCUGGCAUUUCUUUCUUCCUAAUUUCUUAAUCUUUGUCUUAUUCUUUUUUUUUUCUUUGUCUUAUUCUUAGUUGAACGUUACAUAUCCCCACAUUACACCCAAAAGCCUUCAGUGCUUCCAUGGUGCUAUAAACAGAGUCAUAAAGGAAAGAAUUAAAGGAUUCCAGUGUUCCAAGUUACACAGGACAAGGCCAAUGCCUUCAAGGUCAUAGGAAGGAUCACUCAUGGGCUGGCACGAUGGUUUGGCAGGUUCCUGCCCUGACUUCCCUCAGUGAUGAACUGUGACCUGGAAGUCAUAAGAUGAAAUGAGCCCUUUCCUCCCUCAAGUUGCCUUGGGCACAGUGUUUAUCACACCAAGAGAAACCUACCUAGGACACCACACCUGAUGAGCUGAGUUUGAUUCCUGGGACCCACAUGGUGGAAGGAGGGAACUGAUUUCCAAACUUGUCCUCUGACCUUCACAUGAGUGUUGAUGAGUGUUUUGGCAUGCAUGCACGCACACACACACACACACACACACACACACACACACACAUUUAAAAAAAAAGCACUGCUUAAAAAAUAAAACAAUUGUUUAUUGGGCUAAGAAAGACAGAAGGCCUGCAAGACGUAUUUGAGUUACUUUUCUUUCUUUCUUUCUUCCUUUCUCUCUUUCUUUCUUUCUCUCUUUCUUUCUCUCUUUCUCUCUUUCUUCCUUCCUUUCUUUCUUUUUAAAAUUUAUUUUAUGUAUAUGAGUACACUGUAACUGUCUUCAGACACACCAGAAGAGGACAUCAGACCUCAUUACAGAUUGUUGUGAGCCACCAUGUGGUUGCUGGGAAUUGAACUAAGGGUCUUUGGAAGAGCAGUUGGUGCUUUUAACCACUGA